rnacentral:rRNA from 1 species
UACGUAGGGUGCGAGCGUUAAUCGGAAUUACUGGGCGUAAAGCGUGCGCAGGCGGUUUUGUAAGUCAGAUGUGAAAUCCCCGGGCUUAACCUGGGAACUGCGUUUGAAACUACAAGGCUAGAGUGUAGCAGAGGGGGGUGGAAUUCCACGUGUAGCAGUGAAAUGCGUAGAGAUGUGGAGGAACACCGAUGGCGAAGGCAGGUCUCUGGGCCAUUACUGACACUGAGGAGCGAAAGCGUGGGGAGCGAACAGG